GUAAAAACCCUAUUUGUAAACAACCAGUCCUUUAUCUCGGGGCUGCGUCAUAAACACGGAGCGCUUGGAAGACCACGAUGUCAUCUUCCUUCUGUCAGGAGGAUCAAAGUGAAGCUACAGGAGUUUCAUUAACGUCAACAACUUGGACCGAACACUUUGUUUUGCUUGAUGAAGAGCAGGAAGGGCAGCCUGGAGAGAAAGAGAAGCCGGGUUGAGCCCACUACCAUCAUCCACGUACCACGAGGAAGAUGAGGGAGAGAAAUGAUCCUAGCAUUAAAGAGACUGUGAAAAGAACGUUGAGAACAUCACCACUCUACAGGAAGACACAGUCCAGUAAUGGGUGUCAGAAGUUCAGUAGUGAACGACAGAAACAAACAAUCAAAAUUACCUGCAGAAAGCCCUUGAUGGACGCUUCAGCUGCAUCGUCAGACUGGCCAGACAGCAAGAUGCCAACUUUAAUGCCAAUUUAUUUGUGUAACAUUCUGUGACCAAAUGUAUAGAUAACUUUUUGUAGAUUGUAAAAAUAGAUAACCCAUUUAUUACAAAAAAACUACACUAGAAUUACCGCACUGCGUUGUGUGACUCCGCUAACCAGUGCAGUGUCCGUCUACAUAUUUCUACAUAUUUUCUCUCAUAUAAAUGACACUGUAUCUCUUGACAACUGAAACCAUAAGAUGAGGUCAGUGUGGCCUUGACCUUUUUACUUUAAGACAAAUACAAAGUUAGACAAUCCGAAAACAUGCAGUUAUGCCUCCGGCGACUCGCUAUUGCAGAGGCAUUAAAACCGUAGUGUAGUAGAUUGGAUUUUAUUGGUGUUACAUUGGACAUCUUGUAUGGGUACACCAAAACAUAUAUUUGGUUUCACAUUCUAGAUGGCAAUAAGCAGAGUCAUCAACUCAGGAAAAAUAUUUCUGUAGAAAAGAAAGCCUUGUAUGUGUGUAUGUAUACAUACACACAAACGCACAAUUGAGAUGUUUUUGUCUUUUAUCAUAUAUUCUCAGGCAGUACUGAUCAUUUACUGAGAGGGGACGUGAGGGCCUACUCUGCAUGCUCAGAGUUCAAGCCCAGCAGGCUGCAGCGGGCCUGACAUAUUCUGGAACAGCAGCACAGUCUUUAGAUGACUCCUCUGAAGAUGAAAACAUGGCGAGUUCUUCUGAAGAGAAGCAGUACAGGUGUGCCUCAGCUCCACGGUCCCUCCUGCAGCCUCCGCUCCUGAUGCUAACCUCAUGUCUCCAUCACACCAAGCAGCAGACCUGGAUUGACAGACCUUUCUCCAGAGCUGCCCCCUCCCUCUGAAACCCCCCUCUCCAAAACACUAUUUGUGGCGUUUUUUAAGUCUUGUUUGCAUGAGAAUUGUUGAUCAUAUCAUUUCCAGCAGAUGCCUUAAUAUAAUGUUUGUGCACAAUAAAUGACAUUGAUCAUAACAUAAUGGUAUUUCCUUGCACUUCUACACCAUGAUAUUGGCAGAUAAGAUGCUGAUUACAUUAAAGCAGUGAAUGCUCUUCUUUAAGCAACAUAAACAAACAAUGAUCCAAUGGAUCUGAAGUAGAAUGGGCACAUUACAUUCUGUAGAGAAUGCCUCAGUUAUGGAAGUCAGAAAAUAACUUUCUUUAUCUGAGGUUCCAGUCAUUUAUAGUCACAGCAAAGCACACAGGUCUGGUUGUCUAAGUGGCGCCCAUAUCAUUGUUUAAGAUGUGUAACAUCAAGUUUGUAGUCAUUAGUCAAGAGUUCACCCUCUUGUUUACACUAAAAUUAGGUGACCCAGAUGUUUCACAAUGCAAUCUGAUAAGGUCUUAUGAGAAACAUUCUUAAAAUUAAAGAAAUCAACAC